rnacentral:snRNA from 1 species
GUGCUCACUUCACAUAUUAGUAAAAUUAGAACAAUGCAGAGAAGAUUCAGGAUGGCAUGCAGAUUUGUGAAGUGUUCCAUAUUUUU